GACGAACGCUGGCGGCGUGCCUAAUACAUGCAAGUAGGACGCAGUUGCGAACGGGUGAGUAACGCGUAGGUCACUCCCUAUUAGAGGGGGAUAACUAUUGGAAACGCUAGCUCAUACCGCAUACUCGUAGAUGGACCUGCGUUUUAUUAGCUAGUAGGUAGGGUAAUGGCCGACCUAGGCAACGAUACAUAGCCGAACUUGGAGGGUGGUCGGGCACACUGGGAAUGGGACAAGGGCCAGACUCCGUCGGGAGGCAGCAGGAGGGAAACUUCGGCAAUGGGGGGAACGCUGACCGGGCAAAGGCGGGUGAGUGAAGAAGGUUUUCGGAUCGUAAAGCUCUGUUGUUAAGGAAGCGGUACCUAACCAGAAAGGGACGGCUAACUACGUGCCAGCAGCCGCGGUAAUAC
rnacentral:rRNA from 1 species